UGGGGAAUAUUGCGCAAUGGCCGAAAGGCUGACGCAGCGACGCCGCGUGGGGGAUGAAGCAUUUCGGUGUGUAAACCCCUGUUGCUCGGGACGAACAACUGGAUUUUUCCAGUCUGACGGUACCGGGUGAGGAAGCACCGGCUAACUCCGUGCCAGCAGCCGCGGUAAUACGGAGGGUGCGAGCGUUGUCCGGAAUCACUGGGCGUAAAGGGCGCGUAGGUGGUCUGCUAAGCGUGCGGUGAAAGCCCGGGGCUCAACCCCGGGUCUGCCGUGCGAACUGGUGGACUAGAGCACUGUAGAGGCAGGUGGAAUUCCGGGUGUAGCGGUGGAAUGCGUAGAGAUCCGGAAGAACACCGGUGGCGAAGGCGGCCUGCUGGGCAGUUGCUGACACUGAGGCGCGACAGCGUGGGGAGCAAACA
rnacentral:rRNA from 1 species